GUUACCUUCGGGUAAUGAGGAUGGCGGACGGGUGAGUAACGCGUAAGGAACUUGCCUCUUGGACUGGGACAACUGUUGGAAACGACAGCUAAUACCGGAUAUUAUGAGAUUCUCGCAUGAGAAACUUAUGAAAGCUAUAUGCGCCAAGAGAGAGCCUUGCGUUCCAUUAGCUAGUUGGUGGGGUAACGGCCCACCAAGGCGACGAUGGAUAGCCGGACUGAGAGGGUGAACGGCCACAAGGGGACUGAGACACGGCCCUUACUCCUACGGGAGGCAGCAGUGGGGAAUAUUGGACAAUGGACCAAAAGUCUGAUCCAGCAAUUCUGUGUGCACGAUGAAGGUCUUCGGAUUGUAAAGUGCUUUCAGUUGGGAAGAAGCAAGUGACGGUACCAACAGAAGAAGCGACGGCUAAAUACGUGCCAGCAGCCGCGGUAAUACGUAUGUCGCAAGCGUUAUCCGGAUUUAUUGGGCGUAAAGCGCGUCUAGGCGGAAAAAUAAGUCUGAUGUUAAAAUGCGGGGCUCAACUCCGUAUUGCGUUGGAAACUGUUUUUCUAGAGUACUGGAGAGGUGGGCGGAACUACAAGUGUAGAGGUGAAAUUCGUAGAUAUUUG
rnacentral:rRNA from 1 species